rnacentral:rRNA from 1 species
GACGAACGCUGGCGGCGUGCUUAACACAUGCAAGUCGAACGGAAAGGCCCUGCUUUUGUGGGGUGCUCGAGUGGCGAACGGGUGAGUAACACGUGAGUAACCUGCCCUUGACUUUGGGAUAACUUCAGGAAACUGGGGCUAUUACCGGAUAGGAGCUCCUGCUGCAUGGUGGGGGUUGGAAAGUUUCGGCGGUUGGGGAUGGACUCGCGGCUUAUCAGCUUGUUGGUGGGGUAGUGGCUUACCAAGGCUUUGACGGGUAGCCGGCCUGAGAGGGUGACCGGACACAUUGGGACUGAGAUACGGCCCAGACUCCUACGGGAGGCAGCAGUGGGGAAUAUUGCACAAUGGGCGGAAGCCUGAUGCAGCAACGCCGCGUGCGGGAUGACGGCCUUCGGGUUGUAAACCGCUUUCGCCUGUGACGAAGCGUGAGUGACGGUAAUGGGUAAAGAAGCACCGGCUAACUACGUG